rnacentral:lncRNA from 1 species
UGAGCUGAUGUUGCUUUAUUCUUAACAGAGCCUGGGGUCCACAGAUGAAGACCCAGAAAUAUACUUUUCCUGUGCCAGUGACACCCAAGAGGAGGAGCAGGCUGAAGAGCCCUCGGCAAUAGUCAUCCGGCCAGGCUCACCUUGUGACACGUGUCCAGUAGACAGCCCCUGUUCCUCCACAUCCAACGCUGAUGUUGAACAAGCUGUAAAAAUGCUCCUUCUAAACUUAACAUUGAUGUAUUUUUGACUUUGUUUUACUCGAUUGAGCUGAUGUUGCUUUGUUCUUAACAGAGCCUGGGGUCCACGGAUGAAGAAGACCCAGAGAUACAUUCUUCCUGUGUCAGUGACACCGAACAGGAGGAGCUGGCUGAAGAGCCCUCGGCAAGAGUCCACCAGCCAGGCUCACCUUUGGGUGUCGCAGGUCACCAGAGCCCAAAGUGUCCUGCAUUGGCCGGAGAAGUGGACACGUGUCCAGUGGACAGCCUCUGUUCCUCCACAUCCAGAAUUGAUGUCGAACAAGCUGUAAAAAUGCUCCUUCUAAACUUAACAUUGAUGUAUUUUUGGCUUUGUUUUACUCAAUUGAGCUGAUGUUGCUUUAUUCUUAACAGAGCCUGGGGUCCACGGACGAAGAAGACCCAGAAAUACAUUCUUCCUGUGUCAGUGACACCGAACAGGAGGAGCAGGCUGAAGAGCCCUCGGCAAGAGUCCGCCAGCCAGGCUCACCUUUAGGUGUCACGGGUCACCAGGUACAUUUUUCUCUUUUGAUAGAGAAAAAUUAACACCAGUUCCCGAUGUUUCACAUGGACCCUGUCUCCUCUUCCAACAAACAGAGCCCAAAGUGUCCUGCAUUGGUCGGAGAAGUGGACACGUGUCCGGUGGACAGCCUCUGUUCCUCCACAUCCAGUAGUGAUGUCAAACAAGCUGUAAAAAUGCUCUUUCUAUUCUUAACAUUGAUGUAUUUUUGACUUUGUUUUAUUAGACUGAGCUGAUGUUGCUUUAUUCUUAACAGAGCCUGGGGUCUACAGAUGAAGAAGACCCAGAGAUGGUUUCUUUCUGUGUCAGUGAAACCCACCAAGAGGAGCAGGCUGAAGAGCCCCCGGCAAUUGUCGACCGGCCAGACACACCUUUAGGUGUCGCAGGUCACCAGGUACAUUUUAAGAGUUAUUUUGGCUUUGCCUUUAACUAACAGACAUUUGAGAACAAGGAUGAGGAAGACUCAGAAAAGCUUUCCUACAUCUAAGCAGUUUAGUUGUAACAUCCUUUUAGGCAGAAGCUGCAGCUGAGCAACCUGUAGAGGGAAGCACAAUGGAAAUAUGGACAUUAGUGUGCUGUAAUGACCACUUUACUGCUAUUUUUACAACAGGGUGCAACAAGUUCCAGUGAUAAGGAAGAAGAGAACUCAUCCUCAUUAACUAAAAGGAUUUCAGACAUCCUGGCUGUAAGAAUCAGCAAAAUUCUGACUGUUAAAAAGGACUAUCCAUCAG